CCGCGGGAGGCCGAUUGCAAGUGACGACAAGUAAUCGGAGAGCCAUUUAAGGUGGGUUGUGUUUACCGAAGCGACUAGGUCGCCUCUAUGUCUAAGAGUAAAGGUUUCAUAUUGAUGCAUGUAGUGGUAGCCAAUGAUAGAAUGUAUAAAUGCAUGGAAAGAAUACUAUAUGGGCUACCAAAUAAUGCAUGUGGUCAUAAUGUGAGAAUGCUAAGUAAUGCUUAAUGAUGUAGUGUAAAUGAUGCUAAGUGGAAAGCAUAAAGUAGGUGACAUAUGAUAGUCAUGUUGUAUGUGUAGAAAUGCUAAUGUAAGAAUACUAAGUAAAUGCAUAAGUUUAAUGCUAGAAGAAAGCGUAUUGAUAUAAUGCAAGAAUGUUAAGAAUGCAUGUUGGCAUGUUAUGGACAUACUAGAUGAAGCAUGAGUCAAAUGCAUGUAUAAGAUGUAUGUUAAGUAAACACAUGAACUAUAUGCAUGAACUAGAUGAUAUAUAAGUGCAUGAUUGAGAUGCUAAUGAUGAAUGCAUAAGACAUAUGCCUAGAUAUGAAUGUGAACUAAGAUUAAUGAACUCUAAGUAGAGUAAAGAACUUGACAUUGUAAAGUAGAGAGCAUGCUAGAUGCAGUGCAUAAUGAUAAGAUAAGAAUGUUAAGUAAAGGACAUUGAAUGUGAACAUAAAUGUACCUAUAGAUCGAGUGGCAUUGAACCUAGCGUCAAGGACAUAGGUUGAACAAGAGUGAUAAUGAACCUAGUGUUAAUGAACAUAGGUUAACGAGAAAGGCAUUAAACCUAAUGUUAGAGAAACAUAAGUUGUAAAAUAAAGGUAAGGAACCUAGAGUCAAGUGAACCUAGGUAGAAAAGAGUAAUGGACCUAGUGUUAACAACCUAGGCUAUGAGUAUAAAAGCAAUGAACCUAUAGUAUUAACUUAGGUUGAGUAAGGCUUGGAUCUAGAUAGGUCAAUUUCAUAGGGUUAAGACCAACCCUUGAGUAAUGAGAAAUGGAUUCCGGAAUCCCUAAGAAUGAAGGCUGCUAGUGCGGCGGAUAAGACUUGCGACCGAGCGCAAGUGAAUCAUAACUGUGGGUAUGUUGGUUCUCCUCGCCCGACAGUGAUUCAACGGGUAUGUUGGUUCUCCUCGCCCGGUAAAAGAGAUGGCUAAAUAGAAUCCUAACUGUGGGUAUGUUGGUUCUCCUCGCACGACGGUGAUUCAACGGGUAUGUUGGUUCUCCUCGCCCGGUAUGCCAUGAGCCAGAGCUCGAGAGGAUUUAAGGCUGAGGUGCAUGUGAGAGUUCCUUCACCUCAUGCCUGACAGAGUGCGGAUUAUCCGCAGUUGAUUGACUCAAGACCGAGUCGAGUGGCAUAGUUGGCUAAGGUAAAGCAACCUUAAGAAAGAAUGAAAAAUGAGCUUAAUAUGGCUAAGGGGUGAGUACCCUUAAUAAAGAAUAAAGAAUAAAGAAUAAAGAAUAAAGAAUAAAGAAUAGAGAGUAAAGACUAGAGAAUAAAGAACGGCUAAUGUCAAAGAAUAGCACAUGCUAAAGAAUAGUUAAUAAUAUAAAGAGCGAUUAGCGGUAAAGAAUGCAAAGAGUAAAGAAGGAUUAGCGAUAAAGAAUGCUAAUAAGUAAAGAAUGGUUAAGAAUAAAGAGUAAAAGCAAUAAAUCUACUUUCAUGAGUUGCAUGAUUUGCAUAUUGCAUAUUCGUGAGGCAUGUUAUCUGUUAGUUGCAUAAUUACAUGAUGAUAUAUAUAUCUGUAGAUGUUUUUGGAUUAACAUGAUUGUAGUGCCUCCUCGGACCUUUUGGUCAAGCUUUUUCCUUGGGUUGCCGUACCCACUGGGAACCAUGGAGUUGGUUCUCACCCCACGUUGUUUUGGGGUGUUACAGGUUCACACGUGAGUGGCGCGGCAGCGCGAGAUAAGGGCGUAGCUCCAUAGUUAGCGCCCUACCACCGAGACCAGAUAGCAGUAUCCCGAGUCGGCUACUUAGGGGUAUAAAAAUGAAAAGAACCAAGAAUGAAAUGAUUGUAUUUGGAUGAAUGAAUCAAAGAAUGUAUAAUGUGAUGUAAAAUCUAAUAUGAAAGACGAAUGAUUGUAAUAAUUUAGGAUGUGUUAUGUUUUUGAUACUUUCUUAUGCAAUCUUUGGUUGAAUGUGUUCCUGGUUGGAACUUCGUACAUUGUAUUGAUUGCGACGCCUUUAACGUACAGGGGAGACUCUGUCUGCGUACAGGGGAAACCCUGUCCAUUCGGCGGUCUGUUGGCGUGCCCGAAUCCGUCCAAAGAGGCGGGCGCGGGGCGUGACAGAUAAGAUGGUAUCAGAGCAUAAAGUAGAGAAUGGGAAAAUAGUUUAGUUGGACCUAGGAGACCCUAGGAUAGCAAACCAUAAGAGAUUAAGGCUCGUGAGAGACGAGGACUCGUGACUUUUGGCGAAAGUUAAAUUGAUUGGGUUAUGUUGUAAACCUCUAAAAAAGAGAUUAGAGGUAGAUCCAAGGUAUGGUUUAUUCUCAACCGAGGGUGUUCAUGUUGGACGCGUACAACAUGAAACCGAGUAAUGAGAAUAGAUGCCCUUGUAUGACUUUCGCCCGAUUUGAGUUAAUGUCAAUUGCUUCGUGCUCGACCUAGAAGGUUGAGAGUUAGUCGAGUUGUCAUGUUUUAGGUAACGAAGGCACCGCGUAGGCGAUCUUCAUCUAGAUCGACGUGGGGUGGGACAAGUGAUGUCCCUGAGCAAUCCCAGGCAAGCGGAGACUUGGAACUUCGCGAACGGUUGGCCACACUUGUGGGUGUGGUGAGGCAGCAAGCCGAUGUGGUGCAGCGAUAGUAGGAGGCUGCUAUGCGCCAGGAUGAGCGAAUUAAGAGACUCCAGGAAACUGUAGACCAGCUGGUGACUGCACCAGCUGCGGCUCGUCGAGGAUAGCCGAGAGUUGCGGCGGAGAUCCCUCCGUCGGGGUCGGGCGAUCCGACUCCCGAAGUGCAAUACUAGAGGCGGAAAAAGAGCGUGCUUUAGCAGCCCUCAUGACCUUCAUAAAGUUUGAUCCACCUAUCUUCGAUGGAGAGAAUAUCGAUCCGUGGAUCGUGGAUACGUGGAUUGACUCCAUGGAAACGCUCUUUGAGGAGCUGUACACGUUGGAGCGGGACAGGGUGCCCCUAGCCAUGCAUUGUUUAAAAUUGUCGGCAAAGGUGUGGUGGAAGGGCAUUCGAAGGAACCGAUCGCCUAGUCUUCCUUCCAUGGCUUGGGAAGAGUUUCAGGGAUUGUUGGUUUCUACGUACUUCCCCGAUAGUGAAAAGAGAAAGCUUCAGGACAAAUUCAGGAAGCUGCGGCAAGGAAACCGCUCGGUGAGAGAAUAUGAACGGGAGUUCUCCCGUAUCGUGAAUUGCGUCCCGGAUGUGGUACGGGAUGAUGAGGAUAUGGCCGACUGGUUCCUACGUGGACUUCGACCAGAUAUUUACGAGAGGGUGCAAAUCCUCAGGCUCACAACCUUCGCGGAGGUAUUGGACCGAGCGUUGUGGGCAGAGCAUGGCAAGGCAUUUGUGCGUGAGGAGCACGAGUCUGGUGAACGUGAACGGGGAGCGGUGGGACCAUUGUCAAGUAGUUCGGGUGAGCAGCCGAGUUCAAGGCAACACUCAAAGUCGUCCUCUACCCGAUCCUCCCCAGGAUGCGUGAUUUGUGGUGGUUCUCAUUGGGCACGACGUUGCGUGCAGCAGGAAGGUAGAUGUACUUGGUGUGGACAACCGGGUCACUUGAGUUUCGAAUGUUCGCGAAACGAUAGCCAGGCCUUGGCACUGGUGACGGACUUUUCCUCUCCAGGACAACCUGCGGGUGUGCCACCUACGGCACAGUCUGGAGAGCAAGUAAGGAUAAGGCGACCGAGGGGUUCGCAACGGGAGGCAAGUGGCCAUGGAUACGCGACCCAGGAUGUGGGACCUGCUGCUGACGACGUCGUGGCAGGUAUGAGUUAUUAAUGCAGUUAUGUGUUUCUGCAUAAUGUAAAGUUGGUGCAUUGCAUGCAUUGAGCAUAUAGUUAAUUACUACUAUUUAUGUAGUAGCAUAGUAGGGUCCGAGUGAACAGAUAAGUGUAAAUAUUCGGGCAUGCUUGUGUUGUCAAAGCGUAGCACUUGCCGGUACAGGUAGAGAACUAGAUGGCACUAGCGAGUUGCUAGUGAUGAUGGUCUAAUGAUAAGAGCGUGUAGUGCGAUGGAUAGUAUAUCGAGAGUGCGAUUGUGACCUAACUCGAGGAUUUGUAACGGUUUGGAAUUUUAGUUGCUCCUAGUUGGAGUGUGUACGAAUUCCCCAGUGAGAAUUUCACCCCAACGAUGAUUGGGUCUACGCUUGCGAGCGAGGGACGCCGAGUAUUAAGACGGGUUUAGGCUGUAGGCCUACGUAGUAUGGGUGGCCUUUGGCUCACCAAUGAAAGAUCGAGGAAAGCGAUUUGGCAAGUAGCCUUAUCGAGGAGUUUGACUUGAGUUCACGAACGACGUGUUCAUGUGAGCUCUUUGCGAAAGUAAUAAGACGUUGGCCGUGGCAUAUGGUAUCAGAAGAUGAAGUGGUCGUGGUGAGACCUUGAGCUUGAGAGAAGCCACAUGGAGUUCGAGUAUUGGAUUUGGGAUGUGCCGAGGUGGGCCAACUCAUGUUAGAGCAAAAGAGCGGUGCGGAAUUAGAGCACUCGCGAUGAAGCGAUACACUAGUGAUGUUGCUUUUAAGCAAUGUUGGAGAUAGAAUCGGAGUUUAUUCCCUGAGGGGAAAAUAAAUGCAAAGAAGAGUUCUUGUAUGCCAAGUGACAAGUGGUAUUGGAGCGCGUGGAGUCUUUGAGUUUCGACUUGCGCCGCCACCAAGAAUGAUGGAUACCUUAAUGCACUUUGUGAGAUGCACUUUGCAAAGUUGGAUGCAUUUGGUAUCAUGAACUCCGUGGUAGUCCUCUUUGAUAGUUCUAAGGAGUGUAAAGCCAUUCCGAAGUGGAUAAGGGCAUUGGUGCCCUCAAUUGCUCGAGGAGCUGAAUUGAGGCGUGAUUUGAGUUUCGCGGACGAAACUCUUUGUAAGGGGUGGAGACUGUAAUAUACCAGAUUUUGGUAUAAAAAUAAAAGUAAAUAAAAAUAGUAUGAGAUACUAUUUUUAUUGAUUUUUGAGAAACAAAGUAUAAGUUUAUAAUGACUUGUGCUGAAAUCGGAAUGAAAACAGAAGAUUUAUAAUUUUCUGUUGAAAACGGGGCGGAUAAAUUAGCAGAAAAUGCACACUGUCAGAAAAUUAUGAAAAUUUGAUGGAUCAGUCAGAAUUAUUUUUAUGAGGCUAGAUUUAAAGUUUCAUACCAUUCUGACAUCCGUAGAGAGAGAAAUAAAAUCCGAAAGCUAUCUGAUAAAGAUUACAGUUCGGUAUAGUUUUCAGUGACCAAACGGAGUCGAAACUGAAAUAUUAUAAUUUCUUUGGACUCAGUACGUAAAACCGAGCCUGCCUGUCAAGUUUGAGCUCAAACGGACAUUCAGAAGGGCUCCGGCAAAAAAAAUGUCAGUUUUAAGUCCCCCUGGAGUGAAUAGUGUUCUUGGAAGCUUCUUAUGAAACUUGGAGAGCAAGUUUCCUCUCUAUGUAUAUAUAGGACUUGGGCUUUCUUUCGUCUCAUUAUUCACACUCACAACCGAAAAGAAAAAUCUCUCUCUACACCAAAGAGAGGAUUGGAGAAGAAAAGAAAGAAAAAUUGAAGCAAGCUUGGAGAAGAUUAGAGUAGCUUGAAGUUGAAGCUCUCUCUAAUGGUGGAGGCAAGCUUUCCAAUGGUGGAUUUAGCUUGAUGUGAAUGGUGGUCUAAGGUGAGAUCUCAUAAUUUAAGCUAGGAUUUGGUUUAAUCCUUAAUGCUUAGUGUUCCAAUAGCCUCUAAUGUGUUGAUUAGCAUGUUAAAUCCAUUUAAUUUGGGUUAAUUGGAGCAUGUGUAGAGGCUAGGUUUAUAAUGAUAGAUCUUUAGAGCUUUAAUUAUAUGCUCUAAGAAUGGAUUUAGAGGAAUCCUUAGAUGCUAAAUGGAUGACUAUUGCAUGAAUUAAGGGAUUAUAUGAUGAAUUCUUGCAAUAGUGUAUCUUAGGACUCAAAAAUGGGGUUUUGUAAAAUAGUAGGGUUUGAUCUCAUUUGACCCUCCGUAAACCUAAUUGCUAGGUAAACGAACGGGUUGGCGAAGUCGAUUCGGCGAUUCGUCGAGCCGUUACGAAGUUAUUAAAGAAACGGACGUUUAGGCUUCGGGUCCGCCGGGAGGGCCGAGGCGACGUCGUAAAAUUGUGGAAAUGGAUUUGAGGCACCGUGGUAGCGUGGUGAAGAGCUUCUGCACUUGAAACGGCGAAGCGGCGCGCUCUUGGAGUGCGAUCGUGAGAUCAGGCCCAAACGAGUGCCGAGUGUCGCGGGAGGCCGAUUGCAAGUGACGACAAGUAAUCGGAGAGCCAUUUAAGGUGGGUUGUGUUUACCGAAGCGACUAGGUCGCCUCUAUGUCUAAGAGUAAAGGUUUCAUAUUGAUGCAUGUAGUGGUAGCCAAUGAUAGAAUGUAUAAAUGCAUGGAAAGAAUACUAUAUGGGCUACCAAAUAAUGCAUGUGGUCAUAAUGUGAGAAU
rnacentral:lncRNA from 1 species